rnacentral:rRNA from 1 species
CCUACGGGUGGCUGCAGUGAGGAAUAUUGGUCAAUGGGCUAAGGCCUGACCCAGCAAAGUCGCGUGAGGGAAGACGGUCCUAUGGAUUGUAAAAUUCUUUUGUCGGGGAGCAACGAGGCCACGUGUGGCCGAAGUGAGAGUACCCGAAGAAAAAGCCUCGGCUAACUCCGUGCCAGCAGCCGCGGUAAUACGGAGGAUGCGAGCGUUAUCCGGAUUUCUUGGGGUUUAAGGGGGCGUAGGCGGAACAUUAAGUCAGCGGUAAAAUAGAGGGGCUCAACCCCUUUAAGCCGUUGAAACUGGUUAUCUUGAGUGGGCGAGAAGUAUGCGGAAUGCGGGGUGUAGCGGUGAAAUGCAUAGAGAUCACGCAGAACUCCGAUUGCGAAGGCAGCAUACCGGCGCCCGACUGACGCUGAGGCACGAAAGCGUGGGGAUCGAACAGGAUUAGAUACCCCGGUAGUC